GACGAACGCUGGCGGCGUGCCUAAUACAUGCAAGUCGAACGAACUCUGGUAUUGAUUGGUGCUUGCAUCAUGAUUUACAUUUGAGUGAGUGGCGAACUGGUGAGUAACACGUGGGAAACCUGCCCAGAAGCGGGGGAUAACACCUGGAAACAGAUGCUAAUACCGCAUAACAACUUGGACCGCAUGGUCCGAGUUUGAAAGAUGGCUUCGGCUAUCACUUUUGGAUGGUCCCGCGGCGUAUUAGCUAGAUGGUGGGGUAACGGCUCACCAUGGCAAUGAUACGUAGCCGACCUGAGAGGGUAAUCGGCCACAUUGGGACUGAGACACGGCCCAAACUCCUACGGGAGGCAGCAGUAGGGAAUCUUCCACAAUGGACGAAAGUCUGAUGGAGCAACGCCGCGUGAGUGAAGAAGGGUUUCGGCUCGUAAAACUCUGUUGUUAAAGAAGAACAUAUCUGAGAGUAACUGUUCAGGUAUUGACGGUAUUUAACCAGAAAGCCACGGCUAACUACGUGCCAGCAGCCGCGGUAAUACGUAGGUGGCAAGCGUUGUCCGGAUUUAUUGGGCGUAAAGCGAGCGCAGGCGGUUUUUUAAGUCUGAUGUGAAAGCCUUCGGCUCAACCGAAGAAGUGCAUCGGAAACUGGGAAACUUGAGUGCAGAAGAGGACAGUGGAACUCCAUGUGUAGCGGUGAAAUGCGUAGAUAUAUGGAAGAACACCAGUGGCGAAGGCGGCUGUCUGGUCUGUAACUGACGCUGAGGCUCGAAAGUAUGGGUAGCAAACAGGAUUAGAUACCCUGGUAGUCCAUACCGUAAACGAUGAAUGCUAAGUGUUGGAGGGUUUCCGCCCUUCAGUGCUGCAGCUAACGCAUUAAGCAUUCCGCCUGGGGAGUACGGCCGCAAGGCUGAAACUCAAAGGAAUUGACGGGGGCCCGCACAAGCGGUGGAGCAUGUGGUUUAAUUCGAAGCUACGCGAAGAACCUUACCAGGUCUUGACAUACUAUGCAAAUCUAAGAGAUUAGACGUUCCCUUCGGGGACAUGGAUACAGGUGGUGCAUGGUGUGUCGUCAGCUCGUGUCGUGAGAUGUUGGGUUAAGUCCCGCAACGAGCGCAACCCUUAUUAUCAGUUGCCAGCAUUAAGUUGGGCACUCUGGUGAGACUGCCGGUGACAAACCGGAGGAAGGUGGGGAUGACGUCAAAUCAUCAUGCCCCUUAUGACCUGGGCUACACACGUGCUACAAUGGAUGGUACAACGAGUUGCGAACUCGCGAGAGUAAGCUAAUCUCUUAAAGCCAUUCUCAGUUCGGAUUGUAGGCUGCAACUCGCCUACAUGAAGUCGGAAUCGCUAGUAAUCGCGGAUCAGCAUGCCGCGGUGAAUACGUUCCCGGGCCUUGUACACACCGCCCGUCACACCAUGAGAGUUUGUAACACCCAAAGUCGGUGGGGUAACCUUUUAGGAACCAGCCGCCUAAGGUGGGACAGAUGAUUAGGGUG
rnacentral:rRNA from 2 species